rnacentral:rRNA from 1 species
UACGUAGGGUGCAAGCGUUAAUCGGAAUUACUGGGCGUAAAGCGUGCGCAGGCGGUUUUUGUAAAGUCUGUCGUGAAAUCCCCCGGGCUCAACCUGGGAAUUGCGAUGGAGACUGCAAGGCUAGAAUCUGGCAGAGGGUAGAAUUCCACGUGUAGCAGUGAAAAUGCGUAGAGAUGUGGAGGAACACCGAUGGCGAAGGCAGCCCCUGGGUCAAGAUUGACGCUCAUGCACGAAAGCGUGGGGAGCAAACAGG